UAGGGAAUCUUCGGCAAUGGACGAAAGUCUGACCGAGCAACGCCGCGUGAGUGAAGAAGGUUUUCGGAUCGUAAAACUCUGUUGUUAGAGAAGAACAAGGACGUUAGUAACUGAACGUCCCCUGACGGUAUCUAACCAGAAAGCCACGGCUAACUACGUGCCAGCAGCCGCGGUAAUACGUAGGUGGCAAGCGUUGUCCGGAUUUAUUGGGCGUAAAGCGAGCGCAGGCGGUUUCUUAAGUCUGAUGUGAAAGCCCCCGGCUAAACCGGGGAAGGUCAUUGGAAACUGGGAGACUUGAGUGCAGAAGAGGAGAGUGGAAUUCCAUGUGUAGCGGUGAAAUGCGUAGAUAUAUGGAGGAACACCAGUGGCGAAGGCGGCUCUCUGGUCUGUAACUGACGCUGAGGCUCGAAAGCGUGGGGAGCAAACAGG
rnacentral:rRNA from 1 species